rnacentral:lncRNA from 1 species
CCCUCUUGUCUGCUUUGCCUUAGAUGGUAUCACUCUUAUCCCUAGGCUCUGAGCCUCUGACUUUCUGGUCCAGGUAGCAAGUGUCUGCAGGAUUUCUAGACCCCAUGCUCUUACACCAGCUUGUCUAUGAAGAUGGAAGACAAAGCUUUUCUUUCCAAGAAGAAACUGAAAACAUCAACUCAAGUCUUGACUUUGGUUGGGAAAGAGUAACUGCAGUAAUUAGGACCCAAUUGAUGGCAAAGGGGUAUGAUCUAGAAUACCUGAAACUUGGUAAUUUAUGAAGAAAAGGAAUUCAUUUCUUACAGUUAUGGAGGCUGAGAAGUCCAAGGUCCAGGGGCAUAACAGAGACAAGGUCUCACUACGCUGCCUAGGCUCGUCUCAAACUCCUGGACUCAAGCAAUCCUCCUGCCUCGGCCUCUCAAAGUGCUGGGAUUAUAGGCGUGAGCCACCAUGCCCAGCCCCUAUUGCCUUUUGAUCCGUACUUUUUGAUUAAUAUCCUCUAAAACACAUGAAAAUUCACUGUUCCCUCUGUUAGGUGCUCCCAUAGAACACAUAUAGGACCCUAGAAGUCCCAUCUCUUUAGAAAAAUUAUCUUUCUGGGAAAAUACAGAGUUUCUUUUAUAACACAUCUGUGUCUCUGUAUGCUGGCCAAAAGCCUCAAACCCCCAAACAGACCUGAAAUGUUUAUCCCUACCACUACUUCUGAUAAUAGGGGUUUGACUUUGUAUUGCCCACACAUCCCAUUAAAACAUAUAAUGUGA